UGUUGAGGCUUCCUCAUUGUGCAUGCUGUGUGUAUUUCUGACUGUACCACACAGCGCCUGCAAUGUGGAGGCUGAGACA
rfam:Larimichthys crocea isolate SSNF unplaced genomic scaffold scaffold613, whole genome shotgun sequence.